UACGUAGGGUGCGAGCGUUUGUCCGGAAUUAUUGGGCGUAAAGGGCUCGUAGGCGGUUUGUCGCGUCGGGAGUGAAAUCCACUGGCUUAACUGGUGGCUUGCUUUCGAUACGGGCAGACUGGAGGUAUGCAGGGGAGAACGGAAUUCCUGGUGUAGCGGUGAAAUGCGCAGAUAUCAGGAGGAACACCGGUGGCGAAGGCGCCACUCUGGGCCGAAACUGACGCUGAGGAGCGAAAGCGUGGGUAGCAAACAGG
rnacentral:rRNA from 1 species